CCAAGAGUUCACAUCGACGGGGAGGUUUGGCACCUCGAUGUCGGCUCAUCGCAUCCUGGGGCUGUAGUCGGUCCCAAGGGUUGGGCUGUUCGCCCAUUAAAGCGGUACGCGAGCUGGGUUCAGAACGUCGUGAGACAGUUCGGUCCCUAUCCGUCGUGGGCGUAGGAAAUUUGAGAGGAGCUGUCCUUAGUACGAGAGGACCGGGAUGGACAUACCUCUGGUGUACCAGUUGUCGUGCCAACGGCAUAGCUGGGUAGCUAUGUGUGGACGGGAUAAGUGCUGAAAGCAUCUAAGCAUGAAGCCCCCCUCAAGAUGAGAUUUCCCAACUUCGGUUAUAAGAUCCCUCAAAGAUGAUGAGGUUAAUAGGUUCGAGGUGGAAGCAUGGUGACAUGUGGAGCUGACGAAUACUAA
rnacentral:rRNA from 1 species